CACAACGAAAUUAAUAACGAACAUUACAUUAACAAUAAUGAAAAAUCUUGUGAACGCGAAACGAAAGCAGGGGUCAGAUAAUAUUAUAUCUAGUCUCUCGUAUUUUAUUCCAUCACAUGUACAUCAGCAAUUAUUAAUAAUAUAAAUAGAAUUGUGUGACAUGCCAGACAUAAUCAAUAUUUCUGCCGAUCAGUCGUGUUGCUAUACUGGUAAAGAAAGGAUACUUAUAUCAAACGUGCGCACAAAUGGUCGUGCCUUCAUGAAAUAUGAAACAAUCACCGGCAAUUUUUCUAAGCAUCUCUCAGGCUUGGAACUCCAGACAACGAUGUAACUCAGACUGUCCACAUCCAAUAGGGGAUGUUUUAAUGUCUCCAACCAUUCGAAUAAUAAUCCUGAGAGGAUAUCCAAGUCAGUUUCCAUCUGGAGCCUCUGCCAAGCUGUAGAUCUAUGAUUUAGAUCCAUCUAAAAAAAUCCACGUAAAGUGGCAUUAUCUCUGAUCAAAACUCUGAUGGCUUCGUCAGUGGUCACAGUUUCAAGGGUUGUAUUUUGAGCAGCAGCUUUUAAACUCAUAUGAGACUGAAUUUCCUUGUAACAAUCAUUGUCUAGGAGAUCUUGCCCGUGAAUUCCAUCACCAAGAACAUCAUCCAUGCAACUAUCAUCUAAUACUAUAAAAAAGAAAAAAAUAUUCCUUAUGAUAGUUUGAAUCUCAGUCUCUCAGUUUGAAUCUUUUACUGAUCAAAUAACUUUAUUUCAGGUUGGAAUACCUGGGAACACGGAAUCGCAAGAUGGAGUGUCAGGAGAGGUGCAAAACACAUCACUCAGUCUACCAA